ACAAAAAGAAGCGAGGGAAAGAAGUGAACUGAAAUUGUUUUUGAUUAGUAGAAUUUCGGCAAUUACAUCAAAUGAAUUGAGUAGCUGAUGCACAAGUCCGGGUAUUUCAGCAAGAAAACUUCAACGGGACAACCGACUUCGACCGGAAACCCCAAUGGAAAUGAACUUCAGCUCAACUACAUCUUCAAUCAAACUCCAUUUUUGGAACAAGAAUCCGAAACCAAACUUUUCUAAACCUAGCUGCUUUCCUUCUCAUCACUCCUUCUCUAUCUCGAUUGUGCGUGUGUGUGUGGUUGUUUGGCAACGGGGCUGGUAGGUCGACUGGCAUGAACACCCGAUGGAGAAAAAUGGACUGGUAACGCUGGUUUUGUGGUGUUAGAGUCAAGGAUUUUGGUUUUGUUGUUGAUGAAGAUCGAUGGGGGAGGGUCCGUAUAUGUGUCUUGCGGCUACUCUAUCUCUAGGUCUUGCUAUGUGUUCCUCCAUCGUUAACUGAAGAAGAAGAUAGUGUGUCUUUAAGGGGUAAAGGGUUGUGAAGAUUGAGCUCAG
rnacentral:lncRNA from 1 species